UAUGGCUGUCGUCAGCUCGUGCCGUGAGGUGUUGCCUUAAGUGGCGCAACGAGCGCAACCCCUGUGACUAGUUACCAGCACAUAAUGGUGGGGACUCUAGUCAGACUGCCUACGCAAGUAGUGAGGAAGGUGGGGACGACGUCAAGUCAUCAUGGCCCUUACGUCCAGGGCUGCACACGUGCUACAAUGGUCAGUACAGAGGGCUGCCACCUGGUGACAGGGAGCAAAUCCAUAAAGCUGGCCUCAGUUCGGAUUGUAGUCUGCAACUCGACUACAUGAAGUUGGAAUCGCUAGUAAUCGCGUAUCAGCUACGACGCGGUGAAUACGUUCCCGGGCCUUGUACACACCGCCCGUGGGGGGGGGCGGCGGGCCGGGCGCGGGGCGCGGCGGGCG
rnacentral:rRNA from 1 species